CCUACGGGCGGCUGCAGUGAGGAAUAUUGGUCAAUGGACGCAAGUCUGAACCAGCCAAGUCGCGUGCAGGAAGACGGCCCUAUGAGUUGUAAACUGCUUUUGUACGAGGGUAAACGCAGAUACGCGUAUCUGUCUGAAAGUAUCGUACGAAUAAGGAUCGGCUAACUCCGUGCCAGCAGCCGCGGUAAUACGGAGGAUUCAAGCGUUAUCCGGAUUUAUUGGGUUUAAAGGGUGCGUAGGCGGUCGGAUAAGUUAGCCGUGAAAUCCCGAGGCUCAACUUCGGAAUUGCCGUUGAUACUGGUCGGCGAGAGAGUAGUUGCGGUAGGCGGAAUGUAUGGUGUAGCGGUGAAAUGCUUAGAGAUCAUACAGAACACCGAUUGCGAAGGCAGCUUACCAAGCUACUUCUGACGUUGAGGCACGAAAGCGUGGGGAGCAAACAGGAUUAGAUACCCCGGUAGUC
rnacentral:rRNA from 1 species